AUGUCACACGUCUUUUUCCAUAUAAAAAUACAAGGAAAAAAACAUGGUGCCUUUUCUUUAGCCCCGAGCAGCCGCGCCGCCAGAGGUCGCGAACCUGCCGCCACCUCGACUCCUCCGUGUCUGGUGCGCCGCUGGAGCACCCGUCGCGUGCCGGCGAGCUCACCAGCGAGCAGCAGCCGUCCUCCUGUCUUGCCUUUUUGCCGUCCUUCCCUGCUCCUCUCUCACCUCUCUCUGCCUCACCUCCACAGGGACAUCAGGACGCCGCCGGCGCGCGGAACGAAGCCGCCCCAAUUGGAUCCACGCCCUCCACCAUCGCCCGCUCUCCUACCGUCUAUCCUCACCUCGAAUCGGUCACGCUGA
rnacentral:rRNA from 1 species